AUUGAACGCUGGCGGCAUGCUUUACACAUGCAAGUCGAACGGUAACAGGGAGCUUGCUCCGCUGACGAGUGGCGAACGGGUGAGUAAUGCGUCGGAACGUGCCGAGUAGUGGGGGAUAACGCAGCGAAAGUUGUGCUAAUACCGCAUACGUACUGAGGUAGAAAGUGGGGGACCUUCGGGCCUCACGCUAUUCGAGCGGCCGACGUCUGAUUAGCGAGUAGGUGAGGUAAAGGCUCACCUAGGCGACGAUCAGUAGCGGGUCUGAGAGGAUGAUCCGCCACACUGGGACGGAGACACGGCCCAGACUCCUACGGGAGGCAGCAGUGGGGAAUUUUGGACAAUGGGCGAAAGCCUGAUCCAGCCAUGCCGCGUGUCUGAAGAAGGCCUUCGGGUUGUAAAGGACUUUUGUCGGGGAGGAAAUCCCCAGCGCUAAUACCGCUGGGGGAUGACAGUACCUGAAGAAUAAGCACCGGCUAACUACGUGCCAGCAGCCGCCGUAAAAC
rnacentral:rRNA from 1 species